GAAACAGACAAUAUGUCAGACAUCAUCAGCACAGACCAAAGCAAAGGGCAUGAAGCUCACAGUUGCUAGAACAGUGGAAGUUUUAGUCUAAGAUCUGGGCACCCAUAAUUGGGAACUGUUUGUUUAGGACCUACUAUAGAGGCCACAGCUGGAAAUUCUCUCUUCAGUUUCAUAGCUCAAGGAAAAAGAAACCGAAAGACUUUUUCUCCAAGAGAGCAGUUGAUUACGAAAAUCCACACUGCUGAAGUAGCGACAUCUGCCAGCAUAAAGUGUUGCAUUAUCCAUAAUUACACACCUGACCCUGUGGAACCAGAAAAUUAAUAGCGCCAGCAAAGCUGAUUCAAAAUCACCAUUCUAAUGGGUAGCAAAACAAAUAAUAUCCAAUAUGGUAUGAGAGUUGUCUGAGCUGAUUGGAGCUCUUUGAUUAUACCAAGUCUGCUUCUGGACCUUAUUUUGGGGCGGGGGGGAGUGUCCCUAGACCAUCUAGUUUAGCAACUAAUCUAUCACCAGCAUGCUCUAGUUAGCACUGAUUUGUUGUUACAUGAAAAAUCCAGGAAGAACAGAGCCAGGCGUAGAUUGGUUUUCAUUGUAAGAGGAGAGGUGCAUUGGUGCCAAGGUAAUCUUGGCAUAAAAAUGGGAAUCACUGAAGACAAUCAUUAGCAUCCUGCAUGUCAGAUCUAAAGCAAUACUGAAUGCCUUCCACUGCCUCUUCAUACUGAAGGCUAUCAAUGCUUUAGGGUUUCCCUCCUGACCUUUGAUUCAUUUCUCUGCACAUGUACUAAUUUAGAGCUGCAGAUCUAUGCCACAUUGAAUAGGAUUCCCACA
rnacentral:lncRNA from 1 species